GUGGGGAGGCCGGAUCCUGGGCUGUGUCCCGGUGCCCUGUGUUCCGGGGCCUGCGCUGUUGGAUUUGUGCUCCCGCCCGCAGCCCCCU
rnacentral:pre_miRNA from 1 species